CCUACGGGUGGCAGCAGUAGGGAAUUUUCCACAAUGGGCGCAAGCCUGAUGGAGCAACACCGCGUGAGUGAAGAAGGGUUUCGGCUCGUCAAGCUCUGUUGUUGGAGAAGAACGUUCGUGAGAGUAACUGUUCACGCAGUGACGGUAUCCAACCAGAAAGUCACGGAUAACUACGUGCAAGGAGCCGCGGUAAUACGGAGUGGGCAAACAUUUUCCGGAUUUGUUGGGCGUAACGGGAUAGCAGGCGGUUGCUUAGUUCUGAUGUGAAAGCCGUCGGCUUAACCGAAGAAGGGCAUGGGAAACCGGGCGACUUGAGUACAGAAGAGGACAGUGGAACUCCAUGUGUAGCGGUGGAAUGCGUAGAUAUAUGGAAGAACACCAGUGGCGAAGGCGGCUGUCUGGUCUGCAACUGACGCUGAGGCUCGAAAGCAUGGGUAGCGAACAGGAUUAGAUACCCUAGUAGUC
rnacentral:rRNA from 1 species